AAGGCUGGUGCCUGGCCUCAGGAACUGGCUGCACCUGUGGGCCUGCUCAGGAAGGAGCUAUAAAGCCUGGCUGGCAGCCAGUGCAAGGGGGGAUGGCCAGGGAAGGGUUAGUCUCCAGAGAGAAGGGAGAAACCCUGUAAAGAGGAGAAAAGCCUGUAAAGUUUGUAUAUAGUAUUGCUGGUGGUGGGAACUAUUCUGUAAAUAAAUCACGGGUGCUGCAAAAGAGAAGCCUGACAGAGCUUUAUUAAAGGAGCCCAGAGCACCAGGGAGGCAGGCCAGGAAAGGACCCGGUUACACGUGGGGGCUUGUCCGGGAUCCUUGUUAUCCAAGCCAUAGACACAGUGUGGCAGCCUGAGUAUGGAAGGCACCCUGCAAUGGCUCGCAGAGCAGCAGUCUGAACUGGGGAAGACACUGCAGUCUUUCAAGGAGUCCCACCAUGUGGAGCGGCAGGCCCUCCUCGCCUGGCAAGCUGAACAACAAAAAGCCCUCCAGGACUUCAUCAAGGAGCAGUCGGCAGUGCAGCAGCAGCUCCUGCAGCGUCUGAUCAUUAAUAAGGAUGGCGUACUGUGCGGUCCUAUGGCAUCAUCCUUUCUGUUCUUGACUCAAACCGCUGAGCUGGAGAAACACAAUCUAACCCAUCUGGGGAAAGCAAUGUGCAGCAGGGCCUUGUCAGCUUGAGGCAGCGUGAGCAGGAGACACGUGAAUGGGAAAGGAAUGACUUAUGUAUUGCUGUACUUUCGUAAGUCAAAGGACAAGAAGUCACAAGUUAUGACGAGGAAAACAACAGGCCGCAAUAGUCAAGAGAACCCUGAAGAGUCUUAGCUGUUUACCUAAACAGAGAGUUGAAAUAAUCUCAAGACAAUCAUAAUCCCUGUUAUUACCUCAGUGUUGCUUAUUUGGGAAGGACACAGACUUGUGGACUUGACUAAAAAAUCAUGUCCUAGAAGAAGAACCCCAAAGUGGGCCAAGAGUCAAACUGACCUAACUCAGUUGGAAUUGGACAAUGCAGUUGGGGUGAAACUUGUGAUCCACUGAUUUGGUCAGAAGAUCAGAGGAGAAAUCCUGUGGGACAAUACCACCCUGAGUUUCACAAAUGAAAAAACACAUAAAUGAGGAAGAAGCGUGUUCCUCUCAAGGUCACCAUGACAACAACUUGAUGGCUGAUACUCCUACUUCCCCUUCCAGGGAAAGGAGAGGCAAAGACAUCACAGACCAGCCAGAUGAUCUAAGAACAACAUCUGCUAGCAUGAUGGUAUUUGAGCCAGAAGACAUUGCCUGGUUUCCCCAAACUGUAGUUCCUGACCAAAUCUGAAGCUCCACAGACAAGCAAGCUAAAGAGCAGAUACUAUUUUUAAGUGACUUUAUUUUUUUUCCUCCUUAACAGGACAUUUUAACAUCUGUGCAAGGACACCUGAUAGGAAAGAACUUUUGUGGGAGAAUAAAAAGGAGAAGGCCAAAAGAAGGGAAAAGGAGCAGGAAACUAGACCCACUAAAGGAACUGGAGUCUUGGAGUGAACUGUGUGAAUUCUCUGGCUGAUCUUCUCUAAGCAGGGGAGAUCAUUCCACAUCUUUCCUAAUGCUGCUUGGGCCACGCAGAGUCUUUAUCAUUAAAAGCAGAGUUUACACACCUGGCUGCGGAUGCGGCACUAUUAUUCCCUGCUGAGCUCUGCUGAAUUUGAAAGUCUCUGAAAUAUAUUUUUGCAGGUACCACAAGGUGAAGUAUUUUUAGAUGGAACAUGAAUUAAUUCUGGAUAUAACUGAGUGUAGUUUUCCUCAUGGCCCAUUCCUCUUCUAAUAAGGCUUUCUUUUAUUCUGUUCAUCUUCUUACAUUGUGCCCAUCACCGUGGUAUCUGAGCACUUUCCUGUCUGUCAAAUUCAGUUCUUCUCCACUCUCCACCCCAGGGGAAACUAUGGGUAAUGUGCAUGAGGGUUAUUUUUCAUCUAGUAAGUUGGGGUUGCUCUGUGUGGCUCUUAGGAAAGGCAGCACAGUAUUUGGACUGGAACAGGGCAUGGUUACUGCUCAUUCUUGGUUCCUGCAGGACAGUGUCACAAUCAGAGGCCAAGCACUAUCAAAAGAUAGUUUAGCUGUGAGAUCUGCUCCCAUCUGUCACUAUGCUGGCCCUCCCUGCUAUUGCUAAUGGGCAUACCCCACUGCCCCAUCCUACAGCCUGGCUUCUGGCAAUCUAACAUUGCUAAGACUGUGUCUUUGCCUUUGGGAGAACAUUUCCUUCUGUGCAGAAGCUCAGUGUGAUGGAACAUGCUGUAGAUUAGAGUCACAAGGUGUAUCAAUAACACCUACAUGGGAAACGGCGGGACUGGAAGAGCCCUGGGGAAGAUGCUGCAGGGGACCGUCAGUGACAUGACAGAGUUCCCCUUUUCCAAUUUCUGUAAUCCUGUGACACAUGCAAACCACAUUGGCCCCAAUUUGGAGGUCCUGACUCUGUCUUUGUGCAAGUUUUACUCAGGCAAAGCUUCCUUUGACUCCAGCAUGGAUCCCCCCUGAAUAAAGACGUCAGGUUUGGGCCCAUUAUUAACUUCCAUGGAAGUUUCACCUUUAGAGCCAACACUGCCUAUGAGCCUGGCCCCACCUCUGCCCUGCAAGGAAUAUAAGCCCUUGGAUUCUAGUAGGAUGCAGACUCCACCAUGGAUGGAUAAUUGAGAAUCCUGGGAGGGUACAGGAGACUGUUAGCGGAUCCAUACCGUGCCA